rnacentral:rRNA from 1 species
AUUGAACGCUUGCGGCAUGCUUUACACAUGCAAGUCGAACGGCAGCGCGGGGCAACCUGGCGGCGAGUGGCGAACGGGUGAGUAAUACAUCGGAACGUACCCAGAAGUGGGGGAUAACGUAGCGAAAGUUACGCUAAUACCGCAUACGUUCUACGGAAGAAAGUGGGGGAUCGCAAGACCUCAUGCUUUUGGAGCGGCCGAUGUCUGAUUAGCUAGUUGGUAGGGUAAAGGCCUACCAAGGCGACGAUCAGUAGCUGGGCUGAGAGGACGACCAGCCACACUGGGACUGAGACACGGCCCAGACUCCUACGGGAGGCAGCAGUGGGGAAUUUUGGACAAUGGGCGCAAGCCUGAUCCAGCAAUGCCGCGUGAGUGAAGAAGGCCUUCGGGUUGUAAAGCUCUUUUGUCAGGGAAGAAACGGCUGAGGAUAAUACCUUUGGCUAAUGACGGUACCUGAAGAAUAAGCACCGGCUAACUACGUGCCAGCAGCCGCGGUAA